rnacentral:lncRNA from 1 species
GACUGUUUUGGGCUUCCUUGGUGCCUCAGUGGUAAAGAAUCCACCUGCCAACGCAGAAGACAUGGGUUCGAUCCCUGGAUCGAGAAGCUCCCCUGGAGAAGGAGAUGGAAACCCACUCCAGUAUUCUUGCCUGGAGAAUCCCACGGACAGAGGAGCCUGGUGGGCUGCAGUCCACGGAGCCACAAAAGAUUUGGACACAACUGAGUGACUAAGCGACUCAGGACACUUCCAGACUAAGUCCUCAAGAUGCUAUGUGGUCUAAGGCAACUCGGACUGAGAUGGGACUUAAACUCAGUUGCAAUUGUUCCCUUUUUCUAAGAUAACUUCAACUAUCAGUACAUUCUGAAUUGAAAACCCAAGUUUGGAACGGACAAGUGCACACUGCCGUAUUUAACGUGGAUAGGGAACAAGGACCUACUUAUAGCACAGGGAACUCUGCUUCAUAUACUGUAACAACCUAAAUGGGAACAGAGUGUGAAAAAGGAAGAGACACACCUAUGUGUAUCGCUGAAGUACUUUGCUGACACCGGAAACUAACACACCAUCCUUAAUCAGCUCAGCUAUGCUCUAAUGCAAAAUAAAAGGUUGAAAAAAAGAUGCUGCGGUAACUAACAGCACUGUAAAGCAAGUAUACUCCAAUUUUAAAAGCGUUUAAAGAAAGAGCGGGGAGACGGAGAGACACAGUCUGGUGGCACCCUUUGAUCGCUUCUUCAGAGGAAUCCCCUUCCCUUACAGAUGCGCUGAAGUGAGAGCGCCAAGCUGGGAAGUGAGCCGGAUCCCAGGCGGCGCUGGGCGUAAAGAGCCGGCCUGCCAGUGCAGGAGACGCGGGAGACGCGGGUUCCAUCCCUGGGUCGGGACGAUCCCCUGGAGGAGGCAGGGCAGCCCACUCCAGUAUUCUCGCCUGGAGAAUCCCACGGACAGAGGAGCCUGGCGGGCUAUAGUCCAUGGGAUCGCAAAAGAGUUAGACAUGAAUGAAGCGCCUUAACGCACACACACACCCCGACGCGUGCGCACACACGCACACACACACACACGCGCGCGUGCGCACGUACACACACACAGAAUGGCUUGGACAGAAAAAGUUAGUGAAAGAAGAGCACGUGUCCCUGGUGAGUGCUUCUCUGCGAACAGGUACCAGGGAAACGGGAGGACUUCGAGCUCAAGGAGCAAACAGCAGGGCCAGAGCGUCUUCCCCCGGCCUGCGCGGAGAGACAGGCAGAUUGCACACCUGCUCCUGCCUCGGGGCCUCUGCCAGGCCCGGCGGGCCGGCUGCAGGCUCUCAGCUCCUGGCCGCUGCUCCCAGCUCCACCCGUCCUCCGGGAAGGAGCCCCUCCCAAGGCAAGUUCAACUGGGUUCCUUGGCAGCCGAAGUGUACACGGACCCCGCAGGGAGUGGUGGAGAAAAAGAUCUGGAUCCAGAGAAUCUUCAGCGAAGCCUGA